CAUGGAAUUCUUUUUUAAUGAAGAGUUCGAGUAAUACAGGUGACGCGCUAUUGUCUACUAUUAAGUAAAGGUCGGCAAAGCCGUGGUUCGGGAUAAUGAGGCGGCAGCCGUCGUUUGAGGUAGUCCUUGCGGUACAGGCACAGUUCAAAACGAAGCUGUUUGAAAAAAUUUCAGAAGAAGUGGCGCCCAGUUCAUCAAAGUCCAGUGUCUGCAAAAGACGACAGGAAAGCAGUGGCAUGGCUGGUGACAUGGUUGAAAUUGCAAAAGACAUGCUCGAACGGCUGACUGAUCGUGAUGUCCCCUAGUAGUGUUUAAUGAGAGGAAGGCCAAACAGUGAACGAAGUAUGAGCGGUUUGCGAAAAAAUGGAAAUGGACACCCUACCGAGUGGCGAGGCUUACGUGUGGAUAUUUGCAAGGAAUUAUCCGCUCUAAAAGCUGGUGCAGACGAGAUGCAGAAAAGCUUCGGAAAGAAGUUAUGUAAAUUCUUCAACCGGAAGAGGCCAGUUCGCCAAAAUCGUUCUUUCGUUGCUGCAAUGCAGGUGAUGCGAGAUUACAUGCUGGAGGAGUCUGGACUUCCUAAUAGGAGCAUCGCAAGCGAAUUAGGUCUGCGCUAUAUGGGUACUCUGAGGCUCGACGACGGCAGUGCAGCCCGAAUCACUGAUCAGCUUCCCAAUUUGCCCACCACGACAUUCUAUAGUAAUGCUGAUUUCGCACCGCAUCAAUUCAAUCGGCAAGCAUCAUUAGUGUAUUGUGAGAAAAUAGGAAGAAGGACGUUUUCUUGCUCAAGUAGGCUUCAAUUCAAGCCUCGUCUACUCAUUCUCAAACCAGUGCUUCUUUAAUUUACAAAUAAUCUUUUAAUUUUAACGUGUGUCAAGGAGUAUUGGUACGUGUAAGCUUAAUAAAAUAUCGGUCAAAUAUGCAAUGUACAUAAGAUUUCAAAAGCAUUACGUUUUAGGCUGAUAGCAGGCUAGAAAUCUCAAAAAUGCAAAGGUUCAAAACAACCAAAGGUGUAAGAAACUCAAGAAACCUAGUCUCUGGAGUAUGUGAACCACCCAAGUGGCAAAUGAUAUUCUUCUUUCUAAGGUCGUUAUUUUAUGUAUUGAACGUAGUUUUUGAGCCUGGUUUUGGAUUAAUUUUAAUUUAGAUUUUACUAAGAAUCUUACACUCUAAUUACUCAGAACUAUUCAUUCAAACGAUUACGAAAUUCGCUUCGUUUCACCCAUGGCCAACGCCACCCGGCAAUAUUCGCCAUUUCGGGACAGCCCCGUUUCAAGUUUUGUGCGAAGUUAACGUAUUAUAUCGUUGUGUUACUUCGAAAUUUAUGAACCACUUUGGCAAAUAUCUUGAACAAAUGAACUGAGCUAUUGUUGCGGACGUCAUGCUUAAACCGAAUGCCUCUGAGAAAAAGUUGCGGCAACGAUGCCUUUAACACUCAUGCACCUUGGGCAUUACCCGGGAAAAAUUUUUGUCUGUUGCGAUUUCGGGAGCUCUUGCUGGAUAAAAAUAUCCGCCCGCCUUGUAUGAACGCAUGCAUGUCAGUGGCUAUUACAUGCUGUAAUCACAAAAGAGGUUGUAAGCUCGAGGCCGGAUUUCCUUGUGCUCUUUCAAUAAUAUUUACAUAAUCGAAGCAUUAUCUGCCAUGCUUUAUUUAGCUUAGCACUACCGGGUUUUCGUUAAAUUUUGUGUUAAAAAUUGCGGCACGAUACUGUGUAGUGAUCAAAUUGAGAAUUGGCUACAUUAAAUACCAUAU